GUUGAGAUGGCCGAGUUGGUCUAAGGCGCCAGAUUAAGGUUCUGGUCCGAAAGGGCAACCCACUCUCAACA